GCGGAAACGAUGGAGCUUGCUCCAGGCGUCGAGCGGCGGACGGGUGAGUAAUGCAUAGGAAUCUGCCCGGUAGUGGGGGAUAACCUGGGGAAACCCAGGCUAAUACCGCAUACGUCCUACGGGAGAAAGCAGGGGAUCUUCGGACCUUGCGCUAUCGGAUGAGCCUAUGUCGGAUUAGCUUGUUGGUGAGGUAAUGGCUCACCAAGGCGACGAUCCGUAGCUGGUCUGAGAGGAUGAUCAGCCACAUCGGGACUGAGACACGGCCCGAACUCCUACGGGAGGCAGCAGUGGGGAAUAUUGGACAAUGGGCGAAAGCCUGAUCCAGCCAUGCCGCGUGUGUGAAGAAGGCUUUCGGGUUGUAAAGCACUUUCAGUGAGGAAGAAGGCCUUGGGGCUAAUACCCCCGAGGAAGGACAUCACUCACAGAAGAAGCACCGGCUAACUCCGUGCCAGCAGCCGCGGUAAUACGGAGGGUGCAAGCGUUAAUCGGAAUUACUGGGCGUAAAGCGCGCGUAGGCGGCGUGAUAAGCCGGUUGUGAAAGCCCCGGGCUCAACCUGGGAACGGCAUCCGGAACUGUCAGGCUAGAGUGCAGGAGAGGAAGGUAGAAUUCCCGGUGUAGCGGUGAAAUGCGUAGAGAUCGGGAGGAAUACCAGUGGCGAAGGCGGCCUUCUGGACUGACACUGACGCUGAGGUGCGAAAGCGUGGGUAGCAAACAGGAUUAGAUACCCUGGUAGUCCACGCCGUAAACGAUGUCGACUAGCCGUUGGGGUCCUUGAGACCUUUGUGGCGCAGUUAACGCGAUAAGUCGACCGCCUGGGGAGUACGGCCGCAAG
rnacentral:rRNA from 1 species